rnacentral:rRNA from 1 species
AGCAGCCGCGGUAAUUCCAGCUCCAAUAGCGUAUAUUAAAGUUGUUGCAGUUAAAAAGCUCGUAGUUGAAUUUCGGGGUCAGUAGAUUGGUCGUGCCACUGGUAUGUACUGGUCUUACUGGCUCCUCCUUCCUGAUGAACCGUAAUGCCAUUAAUUUGGUGUUGCGGGGAAACUGGACUGUUACUUUGAAAAAAUUAGAGUGUUUAAAGCAGGCUAACGCUUGAAUACAUUAGCAUGGAAUAAUGAAAUAGGACGUUCGAUCUUAUUUUGUUGGUUUCUAGGAUUGACGUAAUGAUUAAUAGGGAUAGUUGGGGGCAUUAGUAUUCAAUUGUCAGAGGUGAAAUUCUUGGAUUUAUUGAAGACUAACUACUGCGAAAGCAUUUGUCCAAGGAUGUUUUCAUUAAUCAAGAACGAAAGUUAGGGGAGUCGAAGACGAUCAGAUACCGUCGUAGUCUUAACCAUAAACUAUGCCGACUAGGGAUCGGAUGAUGUUAAUCUUUUAAUGACUCAUUCGGCGCCG